rnacentral:misc_RNA from 1 species
CAUUAUCACUAAUCAAGCCCGGCUUGCUGUUGGACCUCUUGUCGUUUAAAGACAGGCCCCAAAGAUAAUGACGGUGUUAUUAGAACCCUAGAUGCAACGAGCUUUAACUAGCACGCAUGAUAGUGGCCUUUUAACCCGGUCUCUUUUAACCAAUUUAUAAGGUUGACCUCGGAUCAGGUAGGGAUACCCGCUGAACUUAA